rnacentral:lncRNA from 1 species
GGAGAAAACUUCGGCCUUUGUAUGUCGGUACUGUGACGUGCGAUAUGCCAACAAGUGCAAUGUGCAGCGGCACAUACAAAAUGUGCGCAAGGUAAACAUCACGCUGCCGAAGUACGAGUGUGAUGAAGUUUUCUUUAGUAUGAAUAACUUCCAACCGGUGUGCCAGGAGCAUCGCUUUCUGACAACGGCAGACUUGAAGACGUGGAAGGAAACAGUGGAGGAGGAGACUCGCACCCGCUUCGUUUCAAAAGGAAGUUUGUGGCAAAUGCAAUCAAAGAAGAUCUCGCACUUCCCCUGUCACCGGUCUGAAAGCUACACCUCACAAGGUGUGGAGCAGUGAACACGAAAGGCUGCUUGACAGUUAGAACAACGAGGCAUAGUUGACCAGCGAGGCACACGUUUCUGACAUUCUAGGCCCUGGCAAGGAAGUAC